rnacentral:rRNA from 1 species
UACGAAGGGGGCUAGCGUUGCUCGGAAUCACUGGGCGUAAAGGGUGCGUAGGCGGGGCUUUAAGUCAGGGGUGAAAUCCUGGAGCUCAACUCCAGAACUGCCUUUGAUACUGAGGAUCUUGAGUACGGGAGAGGUGAGUGGAACUGCGAGUGUAGAGGUGAAAUUCGUAGAUAUUCGCAAGAACACCAGUGGCGAAGGCGGCUCACUGGCCCGUUACUGACGCUGAGGCACGAAAGCGUGGGGAGCAAACAGG